GCUGAAAGCAUCUAAGCGGGAAGCCAACCUCAAGAUAGAUCUCCCGGGUCUUUAUGGCCCCCAAAGGUCUCUAGAAGACUACUAGUUCGUUAGGCAGGAUGUGAAAGUGGGGUAACUCAUGAAGCUGACCUGUACUAAUCGACCGGGUGGUUUAACUUA
rnacentral:rRNA from 1 species